AACGAACGCUGGCGGCAUGCCUAACACAUGCAAGUCGAACGAGACCUUCGGGUCUAGUGGCGCACGGGUGCGUAACGCGUGGGAACCUGCCCUUAGGUUCGGAAUAACUCCCCGAAAGGGGUGCUAAUACCGGAUAAUGUCUUCGGACCAAAGAUUUAUCGCCUUUGGAUGGGCCCGCGUUGGAUUAGCUAGUUGGUAGGGUAAAAGCCUACCAAGGCGACGAUCCAUAGCUGGUCUGAGAGGAUGAUCAGCCACACUGGGACUGAGACACGGCCCAGACUCCUACGGGAGGCAGCAGUGGGGAAUAUUGGACAAUGGGCGAAAGCCUGAUCCAGCAAUGCCGCGUGAGUGAUGAAGGCCUUAGGGUUGUAAAGCUCUUUUACCCGGGAUGAUAAUGACAGUACUGGGAGAAUAAGCGCCGGCUAACUCCGUG
rnacentral:rRNA from 1 species